GCCUGCUCUGUCGAUCUCUCUGCGACAGGCCGGGCCGCCGCCAGUCAGCCUGGCAAAUGAAGGCCAUCUCCAAGUUUCUGACGCUCGCUCGCGUGCGAGGGAACAGAAGCUUCCAGAAUGAGAGGACCCAGUCGUGCGCCGCCGGGGGCUGUGGCUGGGGAGUGAGAGGCCCGGGGCGGAGUCCCAGCACCCCCGCUGCCACACCGUCACCGACAGGCUGGGCACGCCGGUGCCCCGGUUCUGAAGAGGGAUCCUGGCAGGCCUGGGCAACAGCCACAACAAAGACCAAUCUCCAGAAAACCACUGCAGAAAAACAACAACAAACGUCCAAUGGAGUUCAUCCGUGUACACUGGACAGGCAGAAUUCAUAGUUUCCCAGCAAGUCAUAAAAAGAUGAAACCAGCGUCCCCCGUGGGGCUUUGCAGUUAGACCCAGGGAUGGCUCCAGAGAUGUCUCUGAGGUGGAGGUACACCAGAUACAUUCCAGCCAGGAUGAACUUGCUCUUGUUUUCACCCCAAAAUAAACCCCCUCUUUCUGGCCCAAAUUGCGGGGAUCCACUGGUUUUGAAGCCAUGCAGGACUACACCGCCACCACAUUCCGCCACAAGGAACAUGGCUGUUGGCAGAUCUCCUGACCAGAAUUUGGGGUUUUCCCCACAAGAUUCCUGUAUGUUAACACUUAAAAGCAAAUAAAAAUCACU